UACGUAGGGUCCGAGCGUUGUCCGGAAUUAUUGGGCGUAAAGAGCUCGUAGGCGGUCUGUCGCGUCGGCUGUGAAAACCUGGGGCUCAACUCCAGGCCUGCAGUCGAUACGGGCAGACUAGAGUACUGCAGGGGAGACUGGAAUUCCUGGUGUAGCGGUGAAAUGCGCAGAUAUCAGGAGGAACACCGGUGGCGAAGGCGGGUCUCUGGGCAGUAACUGACGCUGAGGAGCGAAAGCGUGGGGAGCGAACAGG
rnacentral:rRNA from 1 species